rnacentral:rRNA from 1 species
GACGAACGCUGGCGGCGUGCUUAACACAUGCAAGUCGAACGGAAAGGCCCUGCUUUUGUGGGGUGCUCGAGUGGCGAACGGGUGAGUAACACGUGAGUAACCUGCCCUUGACUUUGGGAUAACUUCAGGAAACUGGGGCUAAUACCGGAUAGGAGCUCCUGCUGCAUGGUGGGGGUUGGAAAGUUUCGGCGGUUGGGGAUGGACUCGCGGCUUAUCAGCUUGUUGGUGGGGUAGUGGCUUACCAAGGCUUUGACGGGUAGCCGGCCUGAGAGGGGGACCGGCCACAUUGGGACUGAGAGACGGCCCAGACGCCUACGGGAGGCAGCAGUGGGGAGUAUGGCACAAUGGGCGGAAGCCUGAUGCAGCAACGCCGCGUGCGGGAUGACGGCCUUCGGGUUGUAAACCGCUUUCGCCUGUGACGAAGCGUGAGUGACGGUAAUGGGUAAAGAAGCACCGGCUAACUACGUG